GGCAAGUCGAGGGGUAGAAACACUUCGGUGUUUGAGACCGGCGCACGGGUGCGUAACGCGUAUGCAAUCUACCUUAUACAGGGGAAUAGCCCAGAGAAAUUUGGAUUAAUGCCACAUAGUGUUAUAGAAUCGCAUGGUUUUAUAACUAAAGUUCCAACGGUAUAAGAUGAGCAUGCGUCCCAUUAGUUAGUUGGUAAGGUAACGGCUUACCAAGACAAUGAUGGGUAGGGGUCCUGAGAGGGAGAUCCCCCUCACUGGUACUGAGACACGGACCAGACUCCUACGGGAGGCAGCAGUGAGGAAUAUUGGUCAAUGGGCGCAAGCCUGAACCAGCCAUGCCGCGUGCAGGAAGACGGUCCUAUGGAUUGUAAACUGCUUUUAUACAGGAAGAAACCUCCCUACGUGUAGGGACUUGACGGUACUGUAGGAAUAAGGAUCGGCUAACUCCGUGCCAGCAGCCGCGGUAAUACGGAGGAUCCAAGCGUUAUCCGGAAUCAUUGGGUUUAAAGGGUCCGUAGGCGGUCUUAUAAGUCAGUGGUGAAAGCCCAUCGCUCAACGAUGGAACUGCCAUUGAUACUGUAAGACUUGAAUUUUUGUGAAGUAACUAGAAUAUGUAGUGUAGCGGUGAAAUGCUUAGAUAUUACAUGGAAUACCAAUUGCGAAGGCAGGUUACUAACAAACGAUUGACGCUGAUGGACGAAAGCGUGGGAGCGAACAGGAUUAGAUACCCUGGUAGUCCACGCCGUANACGAUGGAUACUAGCUGUUCGGAGCAAUCUGAGUGGCUAAGCGAAAGUGAUAAGUAUCCCACCUGGGGAGUACGCACGCAAGUGUGAAACUCAAAGGAAUUGACGGGGGCCCGCACAAGCGGUGGAGCAUGUGGUUUAAUUCGAUGAUACGCGAGGAACCUUA
rnacentral:rRNA from 1 species